UGGCGUCUGUCUUACGGAGCCGGCUACGCUGCGAAGCGGUUCGUAUUCCGUGCUCACUUAAAGCACUGAACAUCCGACAUCUUGGUUUGACUUCCUGGUACAGGAUACUUGCACUUAGCAUGGAGUGAUGAAGCAGAGCAGUGUACUUUUAUUAAAUGUGCAGAUUUUAGCAGUAUAACAGCCGUUCAUUAAAAAAAUACAUGUGUGCUGAAAAUAAAGUGUUCUUACCGACA
rnacentral:lncRNA from 1 species